rnacentral:misc_RNA from 1 species
GACUGAAACAUAUUGAUAUCUUCACUUGAUGACUCCGUACCACCACUGCCCCCUCCCCCACCGAAGGUCAUCAUCAUGGGUGCAAUUGGGGCCGUGGAGGGGGUCAUAGAAAACCCAUGAGGGUACCCAUGAUAUUGAUGAACAGAAGCUUGCGGUUGAAGAAGUGAAGUGGCAAGUUGUUGAGGAAGGGGUAAUGUGUUUCUUUGGUUAUUGUUUUUGUAGUAACAAUUGGCUGCGCAUUGUGGCUUUUCCCCACCAAUCUCUUUUCUGUGGAAGUUCCUAUGGCAUUCACAAG